GAUGAACGCUGGCGGCGUGCUUAACACAUGCAAGUCGAACGGAAAGGCCAGUGCUUGCUCUUGUUCUCGAGUGGCGAACGGGUGAGUAACACGUGGGUGAUCUGCCCUGUACUUCGGUAUAAGCUUGGGAAACUGGGUCUACUCCCGGAUCGGACAACUCUUUGGAUAUUGUUGUGGAAAUCUUUUGCGGUAUGGGAUUAGCUCGCGCCCUAUCCGCUUUUGGGUGGGGUAAUGGCCAACCAAGGCGUCGACGGGUAGCCGGCCUGAGAGGGUGUACGGCCACAUUGGGACUGAGAUACGGCCCAGACUCCUACGGGAGGCAGCAGUGGGGAAUAUUGCACAAUGGGCGCAAGACUGAUGCAGCGACGCCGCGUGGGGGAUGAAGGCCUUCGGGUUGUAAACUCCUUUCGCUAGGGACGAAGCGUAAGUGACGGUACCUGGAGAAGAAGCACCGGCUAACUACGUG
rnacentral:rRNA from 1 species